rnacentral:Y_RNA from 1 species
GGCUCGUCCCAGUGUAGUGGUGUUUAUAACUAAUUGAUCACAACCAGUUACAGAUUCCUUUGUUCCUUCUCCACUCCCACUGCUUCACUUGAAUAGCCUAAG